UACGUUUAGUUGCUAACGCGUGAAGGCGAGCACUCUAGACGAACUGCCGUUGACAAAACGGAGGAAGGUGGGAUGACGUCAAAUCAUCAUGCCCUUAUGUUCUGGGCUACACACGUGCUACAAUGGCCGGUACAGACGGACGCAAAGCCGCGAGGUGGAGCAAAUCCUAAAAAGCCGGUCUCAGUUCGGAUUGCAGGCUGCAAUUCGCCUGCAUGAAGUCGGAAUCGCUAGUAAUCGCAGGUCAGCAUACUGCGGUGAAUACGUUCCCGGGCCUU
rnacentral:rRNA from 1 species